GGGCCCGCACAAGCGGAGGAACAUGUGGUUUAAUUCGAUGAUACGCGAGGAACCUUACCCGGGCUCGAACGGCUAAUUAAUAUAGGAGAGAUUCUAUAGCCAGCAAUGGAAUUAGUCGAGGUGCUGCAUGGUUGUCGUCAGCUCGUGCCGUGAGGUGUCGGCUUAAGUGCCAUAACGAGCGCAACCCUUAUCGUUAGUUACCAUCAGGUCAUGCUGGGGACUCUAGCGAGACUGCCACCGUAAGGUGUGAGGAAGGUGGGGAUGACGUCAAAUCAGCACGGCCCUUACGUCCGGGGCUACACACGUGUUACAAUGGGAUGGACAAAGGGUCGCUACUUAGUAAUAAGAUGCUAAUCUCAAAACCGUCUCCCAGUUCGGAUUGGAGUCUGCAACCCGACUCCAUGAAGCUGGAUUUCGCUAGUAAUCGCGCAUCAGCCAUGGCG
rnacentral:rRNA from 1 species